rnacentral:sRNA from 1 species
GCUAACAGUGAAACUACCGCCACGCAAUGCUAGGAUUAAUCCAAGGUUUGCACUAUAUAUACCAUCUAGAAACAACAGAACUGUGUGAGUUUUGAAUCAUAUAGGUUGUUCUAAAGAACUUAUUGUGAGAUCCUAGGACCUUGUGAAACAGUUUAAUAUAACUGGACCACUAUAUGCAAUCAUGAAUUACGAGGUAGAUUUAGAAAAGAUCGGCAGUGAUUUCCUUGAUAUUAGGAGACAAAGGAACCCAAACGAUGAGCUUCAGACUUAUGGUAAACCUCAAGUAGUGUUUGAUGCUCUCAAAAUCAACGUCAAAGGUGAACCCCAGUAGUCGUUGCAACCGGUGGGAAACAUGAAAACUCAAACGGUAGGCCAGGAAUUUAUUUUUUAAUGCAUCAAUGAAUC